CGUGAAACCCUGUCUGAACAUGGGGGGACCAUCCUCCAAGGCUAAAUACUCGUAAUCGACCGAUAGUGAACUAGUACCGUGAGGGAAAGGCGAAAAGAACCCCGGGAGGGGAGUGAAAUAGAUCCUGAAACCGCAUGCAUACAAACAGUGGGAGCCUCGCAAGGGGUGACUGCGUACCUUUUGUAUAAUGGGUCAGCGACUUACGUUCAGUAGCAAGCUUAACCGAAUAGGGGAGGCGUAGCGAAAGCGAGUCUGAAAAGGGCGAUAUAGUUGCUGGACGUAGACCCGAAACCAGAUGAUCUACCCAUGGCCAGGAUGAAGGUGGGGUAACACCUACUGGAGGUCCGAACCCACUAGUGUUGAAAAACUAGGGGAUGAGCUGUGGGUAGGGGUGAAAGGCUAAAACAAAUCUGGAGAUAGCUGGUUCUCCCCGAAAACUAUUUAGGUAGUGCCUCAUAUGGACACGUUCCGGGGGUAGAGCACUGUAAUGGUUGAGGGGGUCGUUUAGAUCUACCUCGCCAUAGCAAACUCCGAAUACCGG
rnacentral:rRNA from 1 species